rnacentral:rRNA from 1 species
CGAAGAUACCAGCUGGCUGCAACUGUUUAAUAAAAACACAGCACUCUGCAAACACGAAAGUGGACGUAUAGGGUGUGACGCCUGCCCGGUGCUGGAAGGUUAAUUGAUGGGGUCAGCCGCAAGGCGAAGCUCUUGAUCGAAGCCCCAGUAAACGGCGGCCGUAACUAUAACGGUCCUAAGGUAGCGAAAUUCCUUGUCGGGUAAGUUCCGACCUGCACGAAUGGCGUAAUGAUGGCCAGGCUGUCUCCACCCGAGACUCAGUGAAAUUGAACUCGCUGUGAAGAUGCAGUGUACCCGCGGCAAGACGGAAAGACCCCGUGAACCUUUACUAUAGCUUGACACUGAACAUUGAACCUUGAUGUGUAGGAUAGGUGGGAGGCUUUGAAGUGUG